GUGACCUACGGGGGGCAGCAGUGAGGAAUAUUGGUCAAUGGUCGGGGGACUGAACCAGCCAAGUCGCGUGAGGGAAGACGGCCCUACGGGUUGUAAACCUCUUUUGCCGGGGAGCAAGCCUGAGCACGUGUGCCCAGGCGGAGAGUACCCGGAGAAAAAGCAUCGGCUAACUCCGUGCCAGCAGCCGCGGUAAUACGGAGGAUGCGAGCGUUAUCCGGAUUUAUUGGGUUUAAAGGGCGCGCAGGCGGGCUGUUAAGCCGGCGGUAAAAAUUCAGGGCUCAACCCUGU
rnacentral:rRNA from 1 species